rnacentral:rRNA from 1 species
UGGGGAAUAUUGCACAAUGGGCGCAAGCCUGAUGCAGCCAUGCCGCGUGUAUGAAGAAGGCCUUCGGGUUGUAAAGUACUUUUAGUCGGGAGGAAGGUGGUAAGGUUAAUAACCUUAUCAAUUGACGUUACCGACAGAAGAAGCACCGGCUAACUCCGUGCCAGCAGCCGCGGUAAUACGGAGGGUGCAAGCGUUAAUCGGAAUUACUGGGCGUAAAGCGCACGCAGGCGGUUGAUUGAGUCAGAUGUGAAAUCCCCGGGCUUAACCCGGGAAUUGCAUCUGAUACUGGUCAGCUAGAGUCUUGUAGAGGGGGGUAGAAUUCCAUGUGUAGCGGUGAAAUGCGUAGAUAUGUGGAGGAAUACCGGUGGCGAAGGCGGCCCCCUGGACAAAGACUGACGCUCAGGUACGAAAGCGUGGGGAGCAAACAGG